AGUUUGAUCAUGGCUCAGAUUAAACGCUGGCGGCAUGCCUUACACAUGCAAGUCGAACGGUAGCGCGGGGCAACCUGGCGACGAGUGGCGAACGGGUGAGUAAAGCAUCGGAACGUGCCCUGGAAUGGGGGAUAACGUAGCGAAAGUUACGCUAAUACCGCAUAUUCUGUGAGCAGGAAAGCAGGGGAUCGCAAGACCUUGCGUUCUGGGAGCGGCCGAUGUCGGAUUAGCUAGUUGGUGGGGUAAAAGCCUACCAAGGCGACGAUCCGUAGCGGGUCUGAGAGGAUGAUCCGCCACACUGGGACUGAGACACGGCCCAGACUCCUACGGGAGGCAGCAGUGGGGAAUUUUGGACAAUGGGCGGAAGCCUGAUCCAGCCAUGCCGCGUGAGUGAAGAAGGCCUUCGGGUUGUAAAGCUCUUUCGGUGGGGAAGAAAUUGCACGGGUUAAUACCCUGUGUAGAUGACGGUACCCGACUAAGAAGCACCGGCUAACUACGUG
rnacentral:rRNA from 1 species